rnacentral:rRNA from 1 species
GACAGAGGGGGCAAGCGUUGUCCGGACUUACUGGGCGUAAAGCGUCCGCAGGCGGUACGGUAAGUGGGCUGUGAAACCACCGGGCUUAACCCGGUGACGCCAGCGCAGACUGCCGCACUCGAGGUAUGCAGAGGUGCGUGGAAUUGCCGGUGUAGUGGUGAAAUGCGUAGAGAUCGGCAGGAACACCAAGGGAGAAGUCAGCGCACUGGGCAUAUUCUGACGCUCAGGGACGACAGCGUGGGGAGCGAACCGG